GGUCCUUGGCGCGCGGGGCGCCCUUCUCCACCGCCAGCAGCUGCUCGAGCGUCAGCUGCUUGGCGUAGAAGUGGGCGACCACCCGCGGCCCGGGCGCGGCGUGCGAGCUGCGGUAGUCGGCGCGCUCCAGGGGCACGUGGGCCGCCGCCUCGCCCAGCUCCUCGCUCAGCUCGCGCCUCAGCCCGGCCUCCAGGGAGCCGUCCUGCAAGUUGACCAGGCCGCCGGGGAAGCCGAGGCGCCCGUCGAAGCGCAUCUGCAUCUGCGGGGGACGGAGGCGGGGUUGCCGGAGGAGGCCUUUGAAGAUGGGUCCGGCUCCCUCUACGGCAGCGUGGAACACCCGGCGCCACCAAGGCGACAGCCAGUGACUCCAGCUAAGGGCUUCGGAGCCCGGAGCGUUUUCAGCCUGACCGACCGUGCCAGUCGCCGAUACCGCCCUCCCGGCCUGCCACCCCUUCGGGAACUGCUCUCCGCCUCGCUGGGGGCGCCGGCCGCACCCCCUCCCGCUCCACCCCCCCGAGGCAGAGGUUCCCGCAGGCGAGGCCGCGGGAGGAUCGCUGAGCCCUGCCGUGACCCUCAAGGGCGACUGCAGGUUCGCUGAGGUUCACUGUGGUACUGAACCCAGACGUAACUCGGUGGUCGGCCUCGGAAGAUGCUGAAGGAUGAGUUCAUUUGAACAAUAAUGAAGAGGCGAGGGAAUAGGAGAAAUAGGUGAAGAGAACGAAGAGGUGCCAACUUCCAGUUAUAAAAUGAAUCAUGGAGGGGAAAAGUACAGCGCGGGGAAUAGAGGCAAUGGGAGUCUAGUGACGUGGGCGAUGACAGAUGUGGGGAGCACUGACGUGUGCGUACGUGUGCAUAGACCUGUCAAAUCACGGUGCUGUACACCUGAAACUAAUACAACAUUGUCCACUAUACUUCAAUACUAAAAAAGAAAUAAAAGAAAAAUUUUGAAAUCUAAAA